rfam:Ixodes scapularis strain Wikel colony gcontig_1108378682154, whole genome shotgun sequence.
UCCCGGUUAGCUAAGGUGGUACAGCGCUCCGCUUAAAAUGGAGAGGUCCCGGGUUCGGUACCCGGACCAGGCG